UUGCUGUUUUUUAUAGUGGGUUUUUUCUGCCCGGUGCCUCGGUGGUAAACGGCCGCGGUACUCUGACCGUGCAAAGGUAGCACAAUCACUUGCCCUUUAAUUGGGGGCUGGUAUGAAGGAAAGCAUGAGGGCUUGGCUGUCUCCUUUUUUACGGUGGAAGUUGCUGUUCCUGUGAAGAAGCAGGGGUGGAAAAGAGGGACAAGAAGACCCUAUUAAGCUUUAUCCCUUGAGUCUUUCUGUUCUUGUCUCCUGAGUAGUCUAUGGUAAGGCUUUGGGGUUUGGUUGGGGUGACUGGAAAGGAUGGUUGUAUCCUCUCUUUUUGGUUUAAACUUUGUGUUGGUUGUUGAACCAGGAUUUUUUGGUUGUGAGAAUCAGUUACUAUAGGGAUAACAGCGUGAUUCCUUCAGAGAGUUCUUAUUGAAGAAGGAGUUUGCGACCUCGAUGUUGACUUGUCGUAUCCUCUUGCUUAGGUGUAGCGGCUGGAAGGGUCAGUCUGUUCGACUGUUAAAACGGCACGUGAGUUGAGUUCAGACCGGCGUGA
rnacentral:rRNA from 1 species